GGCCACCAGAGACCUGCUAGGGAGUGAGGGCUCCUGGACACAGUGGGCGGCAGCACAUCUUGCUGAUAAUCCACCUCUUGCAUUAACACAACGGCCUGCCCACACCUCUGCAUGGAGGGAUGCCGCUGCUGGAAGGCAGCUUCUGUCCCUUGGCCAGACGUUGAGUCUCAACCACAGACACCGCCAAGCAGCACAUGUUGCACCAGGGACCAGCCAGGGCCCGGAACAGCGAGCACCGUGUAAAGAGCAGGCACAGCGCCCCCUUCAGGUGAUGAGAAGGGCGGCUGGGGGGCAGCGCCCCUCAGAGCCUGGGCCCCACUCUCCCUGCUACACCCCUCCCAAGAACUGCAGGUGCGAUCCCGGAGGAGGGAUGCCCCAGCCUUCACCACGCGCGGCGGUGACCGGGCUCCCCAACACGGGGCCGGAGGCUACUGCCACCGCCUUUCUAGUCCAGACCAGAGGGAAGAGGCCCUCCUCUAUUUACGCAGACCUGGGAGCUCCAAAGCAGGGGCGACGCAUCCCCAAAGCCACCUAGACAGGCCGAAGAGCUGGGUCCUGGCUCCCUGGCCUCUCCCUGCACGACUGACACCCUAGGGGCCAUCAGGCCGCAGCGCCUCACCUCACCCCCCAGGAGGGGCAGCCCCAGGCCGGGUGUGCGAGGCCCCUGGUUCUGGGAACUCCCUCCGAGAGGAAGCUGAAAGCACGGAGAACAAAACACAUAUUCCGGGGCACUUUCAAAGACAUAUAUUUCGGUUCUUCAUAGUGUCAAGACUAAUUUGCCAAACUAAUGACAA